AAAUGAGAAAGAAGAGUAAGUGGCUUUGAAAAAUCCACAGAAGUAUUUGUUCAUCAUUUCAAACCUAUUUGUUCUAACCGAAACACCUUUUCCUUUGAGUUCUUUAUUACAGUUACAAUAUAUACCUUUAAGUUUUCAUUUAGUUUCACUGGGGGGAAAAGCCUUCUGAAUACCAGAUGGGAUCCCUGUGGUUCAAGGCCCACAGACCUAGCAAAAUAUAAGUAUUUGCUUUGUGAUCAUUUCAGUUCUUAAGGCAAAACCCAUCAUCUUUUCUACUACAUUCCCAAAGGUAUUUCCAAGAAAAAUUUAGCAAAUAUGCAAAAUUCAGCUUUAGGAGCAAAGUCUCACUUUGGAUAUGCAAGAGGUUGCAUAUCCUUUGAGCUCUCAAAAUAACAUUACAAACAGCCCAACUGCUGGUCAAUCAACUAUGAAUAGUUUAACAACCUUUCAUUCAGUUGCAAAGGCUUUGUUCCCAUUGCCAAAACCUUGAGCUUAAAUUAAAAAGAACUUGUGACAGGGAGCAAGUAGUCACUAGUGAAACUGCAGUUGGGAGAAAGAAUUAGACACAGAGGGAGAGGUCCAUAUAUUCUGCAACAGAGUGGAACGU
rnacentral:lncRNA from 1 species